rnacentral:rRNA from 1 species
UACGAAGGGUGCAAGCGUUAUUCGGAAUGACUGGGCGUAAAGGGUGUGUAGGCGGUAUGUUAAGCUUGCUGUUAAAUUCUCCGGCCUAACUGGAGACAUGCAGUGAGAACUGGCGUACUUGAGGGUGAGAGAGAGAAGUGGAAUUCCCGGUGUAGCGGUAAAAUGCGUAGAUCUCGGGAGGAACACCGAUGGCGAAGGCAGCUUCUUGGCUCAUACCUGACGCUGAGACACGAAAGCGUGGGGAGCAAACAGG